UUAUGCAAUCAGUAAAAGUUCUCUUAAUAUCUAGGCUCCUAAAAAGAUCCUCAAAUCACAAGUUAUUUUGUUGUCUGUUCCUUUGAUAUGUCUAGUCAGGGGUGAGAAGGAAUGGGAAGGUGGUUCAAGGCUAUCCACCCAUCAUCGAAGCUCAAAAGGAACACGAGGAAGAGGAGGAGGAAGACCAGGCUAUGUUUGUGUCUUUGUCCCUGGAGCGGAACCGGGCAGUGAAUCUCCGGGACUCCUGUGAGAAGUCUCCACUGAGACCACCCAGCCAGAAGACCACAGGACAGAGCUCCAAGAGGUCUCAGAGGAAGAUCCAGGAAAUUACUCUCACCACUUUAGACCCUUCCAGCCUCAGUUCGAGGAUAGUGGAUGGUACUGAAGACAUUGAGGGGAUGGAGAGUUCUCUGACCUUCUCCUUCAACCAAGGCUGUCCCGUCAAAGAACCGUCCAGUGCCUCAGCAUCAGCCACAGAUAUGCUGCAGAUCAGCACAGCAGAAUUAGCAGCUAAAGCAGAGGAGACCAGAGGACAGCUGCGACACCUCGACCAGCAGGUAGG
rnacentral:lncRNA from 1 species